rnacentral:rRNA from 1 species
GGAAUUUUCCGCAAUGGGCGAAAGCCUGACGGAGCAAUACCGCGUGAGGGAGGAAGGCYUKUGGGUUGUAAACCUCUUUUYUCARGGAAGAARMMAAUGACGGUACYUGAGGAAUCAGCAUCGGCUAACUCCGUGCCAGCAGCCGCGGUAAUACGGAGGAUGCAAGCGUUAUCCGGAAUUAUUGGGCGUAAAGCGUCCGCAGGUGGUUGU